rnacentral:misc_RNA from 1 species
GGCAAAUCUACAAUACACAGCAUGAUAGCGCUGCAUACAUCAUCGUCAACUGCCUACUUAUAUGACCCUUAUUCAGCAAAUAGAUAGUAUUCGAGUCAAAUUGUACUUUCACUAUUUUCAGAAGACCCUACAUGAAAACAUGAUUAGAAAGGUUAUGGAUAAUGACCUAACCCGACCAUCCUCUCUGAGGACCACCUGAAGAAUGUCCAUUCAGCCUGUCGAGCACAGUAUUGAAAUCAACUGUCUGACCACUUUCUUCGAGCCUUUGGAUAACAUUAACCACAUGAUCACCCCUGUAGCCCAUGCUUGCCAGCUUCUCAAUUAAUUCAUUGUAAGGAUGAGUGCGCAUCAAUUGAGGUGGACGAAACAUAUGAUUGGGGCUCGGGGAGGACUGUGCGUUCUGGGGAGGGAAGCUGGAGGGAGGAUAACCACUUUGUGGGAAAUUUGGUGGUUGUGGUGGAUGUCCCCUUGGGCCUUCACUGUCGUACAUCAAAUAUGCAUUUCCUGCAGAAAGAGAUGGAUGAGGCCCACUAGCGGCAUACCCAUCCCCUGGAGCACCAAAAGAAGGCUUGAGAUGCUGGGUUGGAGGCUGUGACUGAAGUGGCCUGCCAGACCUAUCAUACCCAUAGGGUAUUGCUUCUGGACGGCUUGAAACUGAUUGAGGGAUCGUGGAAAAUGACACUUGCAUUGGCAUGCUAUUGGGGACAGGUUCAGGAGAAGAAUUCGGUUGACUGGGUGGAUAAGAAGGAUAAACAGCAGGUGAUGAGGGUCUAGCUUGCUGUUGCACACUUGGAAGCUGAUGCUGCUGGGAUGCUUGAACCUGCUGAGGUACCUGUUGCGCCCAUUGCUGCUGCUGAUAUUGGGGCAUUGACUGGAUUUGUGGGGUCUGAUUCCCCGGAGGUGCUGCUGGCUGGGGUGGUAACCUAGAAAGAUCUUGCAUUUGAGAAGUACGAUACUGGGGGUCAGAUGAAAGAUAUUGACCUUGGGACAAGUGAGUUGGAGCUGGUGGAUUUGACAUCUGCACUGGGGGUAAAUAGUAACCUUGCGACUGCGUCAUACUUUGAGAUGGAAUUGGUGGUGGAGGUGCCUGUUGUGGCUGUUCGACGGGUUGGUUAGUAAGAGGAGCCCGGGGUGCUACUUGAUGCGGUAGAGCAAGUGCCAGUUGUUGUCCAUUCACAUCAGUUGAGUUGUCACCUUUAUUGGAAUCAGAUACAGGUUGAGCAUUUCUGUCCUCAUUCUGCUGAGAAUUGUUAGCUGAAGCUGGUUCUUUCGGCGCAAACUGAAGCUUAGCCAGCUCCUUCUGAGUUUCAGCAAGUUCUUGCUUAUCUCUCAGAAUCUGUACAGAUCUGUGGACCUCUUGAACAUGCUUCUCAAGAGCCUUCAGUUUCAAAUCUGCCUCACCAUGAUCUCGAACUAAA